UCGAAAAUCGUUUAUAAUUUCGGCUUAUAAGUUAGCUAAUGCUAUUACUCGAG
rnacentral:tRNA from 1 species